AUACCUUUCUCGGCCUUUUGGCUAAGAUCAAGUGUAGUAUCUGUUCUUAUCAGUUUAAUAUCUGAUAUGUGGGUCAUUGAUUCACACGAUAUUAACUUAAUUUUUUAAGGGGGAAGGUCCAUUAAAGUAGCUUGCUACUUGGGUCUUCGUGCGUCGCCUAGGUGUUGCACUAUAGCCUUGGCCUGGCGCAGCCCAC